UGGGGAAUUUUGGACAAUGGGCGCAAGCCUGAUCCAGCCAUGCCGCGUGAGUGAAGAAGGCCUUCGGGUUGUAAAGCUCUUUCGGCGGGGACGAAAUGGUUCGUGCCAAUACCACGGACUGAUGACGGUACCUGAAGAAGAAGCACCGGCUAACUACGUGCCAGCAGCCGCGGUAAUACGUAGGGUGCAGGCGUUAAUCGGAAUUACUGGGCGUAAAGCGUGCGCAGGCGGUUUGUUAAGACAGAUGUGAAAUCCCCGGGCUUAACCUGGGAACUGCGUUUGUAACUGGCAGACUGGAGUGUGGCAGAGGGGGUGGAAUUCCAAGUGUAGCAGUGAAAUGCGUAGAUAUUUGGAGGAACACCGAUGGCGAAGGCAGCCCCCUGGGAUAACACUGACGCUCAUGCACGAAAGCGUGGGGAGCAAACAGGAUUAGAUACCCUUGUAGUCCCUGAGCGGGCUGGCAAGGCGCAU
rnacentral:rRNA from 1 species